CGUUCAAUCCCUGCCUGCCUCAGAAUCCAAAGGGGCAGAAAAUUACAAUGGGGGACAAAAUCCUUAGGGGGCAACAUCGGUGUUGAUGUGGGCAUGCUGUCUUUGAUGGUAUUUUCUGGAUAUAUAUAUAUAUAUAAGGCAUCCACUUAUUGGGUCCCACUUAGGGCUUACCCACUCAUUCUGAUUGGGUCCCAGCCCCCAGCUGGAAAGGUUGACAUGUAUCCACAAGCAAGUGGAUGUUUUGUGGCCGGAGAGCAAAGCUACAAUGACUUGGAAGUGUGUGGAAAAGCAUACACUCUCUUUCUGCUGUGGACACAUGCGCUCCUCUUUCAGCAGCAUGGACUACACAUAUCCAACAUAUCUAAACCAUGGAGAGCAAGGAACAGAUGCAGAUACAGAAAGAUUGCAGCCCAGAUGAAGUCAUCAUUCAUGGUUGAAACGCUUGUUCAAGUCGUCAGUGUUGUGUAUGACUGCAGCUAAGGAACUGUAUAUCGCUGCUGACAACUUUCUGAGGGAAAAGUACCUGCAUUGAAUAUCAACGCAAGAGGAAAUUAGUGACAGAGAGACACGGUUAGAUGAAUUUAUAAAGCCCCACGUAGAUGCCUGAACCCACACAGAAACAGCAAGCAUAAAAGAAGGUGUGAGGAGGUUGAAAUCAUGGCCUCUUCUUUUCACAGCCCAGAAUGUAUAAUCUUCUAAAUAUAUUCUUCUCCAAGCUGGCCGGGAGAAAAAGGUGUCCUUCAAUUACUUGAGAGACAGUGAAGGAAAAUAUUGGAUUUCUAUUGACAAGAUCAGUGGAGACCUAGUUAGGGGACGUGACAAAAACUGGAGUGCAGGUGGUUAAGUUUGUUACUAACAAAUUGGAGACUUCGAUUUGACUUUUGUUUAUGAUCCAAAAAGGAUAACAUUUAAUAACAGAAGAUGUCAAAGAAUUCACAAGAUGAACACUCAUAUAAACAAAUUGAAAUUUGGGACGACGGGACCACGUAAAUCUCACGAUCACCACCACAGAAACGCAGGCAACAGAAAUCAUUGCCACUCAACUCUUUUCUCUUCACUCUAUCUCCCUUUCUCUACAACUAUACGAUAGUCACACAAAAAAUGGAAAAAAAAGAAAAGCAAAAUCACCAAGCCACUUCCUUUGAUAUCACUUUGCAUGUCCAGUUUUCCUCUUUCCGUCGACGGAAACUAGCUGCCUUCCGGGUUUGUUUAGGCCUGGACUCAUCCCAUUUGGUAGUUUCCUUGAUGGUGAAGGAAUUAGCGAUGGAAUUAAACUCCUGGUAACAAAACCAGAAAAAAAAUGUUGUAAAUAUUCUGAUGAAAAAAAUUUAAAGCGGGAAUCCUAAGAGAAAGUUCUAGUCUGGAAAAAAUAAAUGGCAGUGGUACCUCUAGUUCUAGAAGCUUUACAUGUUGUAAGUAAUGCGUGCAUCUAUAAAUUUAAAUGACCAGAAAUGCUGCCCAGAGAAAAGUGAUCAGUAAUCAGACAGCUUAUUACCUUGUUUCUGUGCUCUUGAAUCCCCUAGGAUUAGUAGUCUUCUUUGUUUUAGAUCCCAAAACAUUGGGAUUGGGGAGGCUGCUCAUUCUAGGGAUAUUAGAUUGCCAUAGCAAGUCUGGCUCAGAAGAAUCACUUGUUGCAGCCUCGAGUUCGUCAGACUCAUCGGUGGAUGCCAUUUCAAACCUACCCCUCUGAGCAUCAUACUCUUGGCUGUCCCUUGUAUUUGGUGAAGAUUUGUAGGGUUGUUCUGGGUAAAUCUUCGAAGGGUCUCGAGCAUAACUCUGAUAAAACAUCUCAGGCGACUGUCUGCUGUCUACUUCCCAUUGUCCUGCAGGAUUUUCAUCUCUAUUUGCACUGUCAAGCCUGUUCACCAUGACCUUGUCAACCCAGUCACCAGACACUGAUUCUCUAUCAUCCUCCUUUCCACUCAUUGAAGGACUGGAAGCGGGUAGCCAUGGAGGUGAAUACAUUAUCAAAUCUUGGGGAUCCAAGCUUCUUCGCCUUCUUGCAACAGACGAAUAGUUGUUCCUAACCUGCAGAUCAUUAAAUCAGUAUGUAAAUUAUGGUUAUGAAUAUCAACUUUAUUCUUUGAUGGACA